UGUAGAGAAGGACGCAGAAAGAAAGGCGAAAAUAUACAAUUAUUUAUUAGCAACUAAUCAAGAAACCUUUACAAAGAAUCAGCAACUUACAUGCUUGUUUACUGCAACGGAUAUUUGAAGACAGAUUCCUUGUCAUCAGUUAUGAAUUCUUAUGAAAUUGUCUUUAAAAGUACAAUACAGCUGAAGUCUGCUCUUCACAAACAAAACAACAUCCUAUCUGGGUUAUCAUCCUCACACUCAAUCAUCUGAAUCACCAUCGCCAUGCCUCCUCUACACUCUUUGUUGUUCUUAUCUAACGUUGGAGCUUUGUUAGCUGCUGUUGGCAGUGUUUCCAGACUGGCCGGGCUUUUCCAAAGGAAGGCCUGACAUACGUACAUCCUGACAGGAGGUAGAGGGGAGUGAGAACAAAACUAGUUUGGAAAAAAGGCGGUGAUGGAGGAAUGGGGCUAGUUAACCCUUCUCCCGCAUGUCUUCCUGUUUUUGUAUGGCAAGGCUCCAAAGAGGACGAAUGCAGGGAGAGAAGGGGGUGAAGUGUAGUUGCAUCCGCAGCCUGACGCAGAAAGGUAAAUAUUUAACUGUGAUAGAGAUGUGAUGAGGGGAGAGCAGGGAGUAAAAAGGAGCUGGAGGGGGGAGUGAGGGUGAUGUAUUAGCUGAAGAGAAGGGAGGGCAGAAGUGAAGGUGGAUGAUGAAAAGGUGGGGAGUUUGCAUAUUUGUGAACAGUAAAAGCAAGGUUGUGAAAGCAGCUAUGUGACCCAAUGGACCUUGCUCUGAUACACUGCACUCUACAGGUGAGAUCUAACCUUUCCUGGUCUUCAUUUGAACUGGAGUAAACACAGAUAAUAAAGUGCCUUCAAAUGGACUGCCUUCACAAGAUAGCAGAUGAUAGGAUGGAAUUUUAUCUGCUUUGUGUUAAAGCAUGCAAACUGCACUUUAUCUUCCUUUAAUCAUUGUGCCAGGAGGAGAGUUGACAUGUAACCAAUCAGCUGGCAUUGACCAGAACAUGAAACUACUGGCCUUUUUAAAUAUUAACCCACUGCUGAGGCCCCAGAGGACAGAUACACUCCUGAGUGUUAGAUACUGGACUUAAAUGCUGAUUUGAAUGAUUAAAAGUCAGCACACUCCCAAUGGACACUCCUUUUAAAAUGUGCCACAAUGAAAGGAGGUUUUGUUAUUAAGGUAACAAUAGCACUCAGUACUGACUGAGUGUGUAUGUGUGUGUUUGAGAGGGGUGGGGGCCACCAGGGCAGCAGAAAGAGCCACACCCCAGCUAUGGGAGGGCCCAUUCCCAAGGUAACUCGUAUCACAAGCCCUGAGCUCUGCCUGGACACACCCUUAGCUUUCUCUCUCUCUUUCUCUCUCUUUGUCUUUCUCAGUCUCUCCUUUCUGCAAGUCUGUUUUUCAUCACUAUAAAAGGGCAGCCUGAGCCAAAAGAUAGAGAGCCUAACCCUAAGUUUGAGCUACAGCACAUUUUUUUCCUGCUUGAGUGCAUUCGUGGGAGGUGACGAAAGCAGAGGAGGGAAUAAAUCAACUUUUACCACACAGCAAAACUUCCCUCAGAUAUGGUGGGGAGAGCAGUGAUGGCUGGGACUGUGAAGCAAGCCAAGCAGUGCAGGGAUUAAAGACAUGAAUAACAUGCAGCAUUAAACAAGGAUGUUGUGGGUGUCGUUAGUGUUAUGUUCAUGGAUGAUUUGUGUAUAUUCAAAUAUAUGGAAAAUGAUUCAGUGUUCUCUCAAUUGUGAAUUGAAGUCAAAAGGAACUAUUUUCACUUCACAAAUAUAUGACAUGAAGUACUUUA